rnacentral:rRNA from 1 species
UAGGGAAUAUUGGUAAUCUGGGAAACCGGGAACCAGCAACGCCGCGUGUGCGAUGAAGGCCUUCGGGUUGUAAAGCACUUUUUGAGGGAAUGAAAAAGGACAGUACCCUCAGAAUAAGUCUCGGCUAACUACGUGCCAGCAGCCGCGGUAAGACGUAGGAGACGAGCGUUAUUCGGAUUUACUGGGCGUAAAGCGCGUGCGGGCGGUUUGGUAAGUUGGAUGUGAAAGCUCCUGGCUCAACUGGGAGAGGUCGUUCAAAACUGCCAGACUAGAGAAUAGGAGAGGGAGGUGGAAGUCCGGGUGUAGUGGUGGAAUACGUAGAUAUCCGGAGGAACACCAGUGGCGAAGGCGACCUCCUGG